GCCUGGGUGGUGGAACUGGUAGACACAGCGGACUUAAAAUCCGUUGGGGUUUGGCCCCGUGCCGGUUCAAUUCCGGCCCUAGGCA
rnacentral:tRNA from 1 species